rnacentral:rRNA from 1 species
AUACGGAGGGUGCAAGCGUUAAUCGGAAUUACUGGGCGUAAAGCGCGCGUAGGCGGCUCGAUAAGUCGGAUGUGAAAGCCCCGGGCUCAACCUGGGAACUGCAUUCGAAACUGCCGAGCUAGAGUUUGAUAGAGGAGAGUGGAAUUCCACAUGUAGCGGUGAAAUGUGUAGAUAUGUGGAGGAACACCAGUGGCGAAGGCGGCUCUCUGGAUCAAAACUGACGCUGAGGUGCGAAAGCGUGGGUAGCAAACAGGAUUAGAAACCCCGGUAGUCC